CUCCUCUCAGGGUGGCAACUAGAGAGUUUCCAGUACUCUACCAGUCUCAGCUAUGGGAGGGAGAGUCCUGCAGAGACAUACCCAUUCCAUUCCUAGCUUGGCCAAUGGCUAGCAAGUGGAAGGCAAUCUGCUAUAAGU
rfam:Ornithorhynchus anatinus chromosome 3, whole genome shotgun sequence.